rfam:Roseovarius azorensis strain DSM 100674 genome assembly, contig: Ga0131273_103
UUGCCGAUGCCAAGCUGCCGGACAUGCAGGCCGGCUGGGAACAGGCCACCUCGAACGUCAUGGCGGGGCUGUCGGGCCUCAACAUGGUCUACGAGGCGG